rnacentral:lncRNA from 1 species
CUGUUAUAUGGUGUGUGUGUGUUAGAUAGGGCUGAUUUGCCUGGCUGAAGACACAAAGCAGGAUUAUAAAGCCACUAGGGUUAGAGUUAUGGGUAGAGCAGGGCCCACCAGACACAGUAUGGAGAGAGAGAUAGAGAGAGAGGUAGAGAGAGAGAGAGAGGUAGAGAGAGAGAGAGAGGUAGAGAGAGAGAGAGAGAGAGAGAGAGAGAGAGAGAGAGAGAGAGAGAGAGAGAGAGAGAGAGAGAGAGAGAGAGAGAGAGAUGAGGACGAGAGACAGAGGGAGAGAGAGAUGAGGAAGAGAGACAGACAGAGAGACAGACAGAGGGAGAGACAGACAGAGGGAGAGAGACAGACAGAGAGACAGACAGAAGGAGAGAUGAGGAAGAGAGACAG